GACGAACGCUGGCGGCGUGCUUAACACAUGCAAGUCGAACGGAAAGGCCCUGCUUUUGUGGGGUGCUCGAGUGGCGAACGGGUGAGUAACACGUGAGUAACCUGCCCUUGACUUUGGGAUAACUUCAGGAAACUGGGGCUAAUACCGGAUAGGAGCUCCUGCUGCAUGGUGGGGGUUGGAAAGUUUCGGCGGUUGGGGAUGGACUCGCGGCUUAUCAGCUUGUUGGUGGGGUAGUGGCUUACCAAGGCUUUGACGGGUAGCCGGCCUGAGAGGGUGACCGGCCACAGUGGGACUGAGGUACGGCCCAGACUCUACGGGAGGCAGCAGUGGGGAAUAUUGCACAAUGGGCGGAAGCCUGAUGCAGCAACGCCGCGUGCGGGAUGACGGCCUUCGGGUUGUAAACCGCUUUCGCCUGUGACGAAGCGUGAGUGACGGUAAUGGGUAAAGAAGCACCGGCUAACUACGUG
rnacentral:rRNA from 1 species